UUUAUUUUAUUGUUGGAUCAAAUUAAGCGUUGUUUUAGCGUCAAAAUGAUACCAAGAUCGCCUACUUAGCACUUACCAAUCGAAAGAUAAUGUUUGUGGGAGCGGUUAAACUAUUGCAACGCCCUUUGAGAAAACCGCGUUUAAAUUUCAAUGAUUAUUACCACGUCAUUUCAAUGAUUUCUGUGAACCUCCGUAUACCUGGAUAAAUCGUCGCCGCCCUCUACCGUUAUCCUACGAACCCUCGUGGUUCCGCAGAAAGUUAAGGGCUGCCUGGCCAGCUAGCUAUAGGCUCUUCACUGCUUUUCAGGAGUAUAUUUAAAGGAUCACCGACUCACAAGACAAUAAUUAUGGAACACUCUGAUCCUGUGCCCAUCAUGAAGGUGUGCUCAUCAUGUAAGGGUGGAGGUGGAGCAGGUGACAACGGGGACGAUGGUGGAGUGGGAGUGGGACUGAUUUCACGUUGGGGGGUGUUCUGUCUGCUGAACGGUCGAGGAUGAGAUGGAAGAGGACAUGUGACGUCUCUAUCCUGUUCUGGACAAAACUCCCGAAUUUUGUCGUACAGAUACCAUUGUCUCUGCAGGGACAGACCCGCUGGGUGUAUCUCUGAUGGUAGCUCGUUCUCGUCAAAGAUGACACCAGAAGACGUCAUCCUGAGGUGGUGGUACUUCUUCAGCGAUGGUAGUUUCUUGAAACUGGUGGCGAAGAAGUCUGUCCAGUCGUAGGUCGGGACGAUGACUUCUCCGUCAUCACCUACCACCAAUUGCACUUCAUUGCACACUGCAGAGCGCUCCACAACUUGGCUCAUGUCCUUGAGGCUACCGAUGGAGGUGCGACGGUACAGGCGCUUAAACAAGCCGAAGCACCAGUCUGGAGUGAACUUGGUGUGCCCAACAACCAAGAAGGACAAGGUGAUCUUGGUGUGUCUCUUCGUCAGGACUCUCCAGGCAAGGCUGUGGUGCUCGAAGAAGUAGUGAAGCUGGCUGAUAACCGUGUUGGCCCCUUUCCCACAAUCACCAGCUUCAUCACACAGAAAGUUGAUCUGUCUGGGAAUGGCCUCACAUGCAAUUCCAAAUACAGCACACUUCCUAGGGGUCAAGAAGUAGAUGGGACCUGGUUGGAGAGGGUUACUUGGGAAGUGCACCUGAAAAGAAAAAAGUCAAAGCUGUAGUGGGCCUUGAUUGGCACUGAGUUAGCAGGGGGAGUUGAGAAGAGAGGGGGUGGCUGAAACUCCACAGCUGCUGUAGUGAAGUGCUCCCUUAUCGACUCUUUGCACUGAUCCAAAGUCGUCCGAUAGUACGAUCGCUCGAGCUGCACCAGUGUCAAGUGAUCCUCGAAGGCCUUGAGCGUGGAGGAUUUGAUACUCUCGGGAUCGUUGACUGCUCGCAAUACAGCUGUGCUGUUUUUUUGGCACACCCAGCACAGGUCAGUCAUUGGCUUCAUCAGAACAAGGUAUGGUAGUAAUUGCUGCCAUAGUCGACAAAAAGUCCUGUAAGCGGCUGCCCGACUUUCCUCCUUACCCAUUGCUUCAAUGUACAGCUUCCAUAUACACCGCUUAGAUGUGCUGGAUGGCAGCAGCUUGAUAUCAGAGCUACUGUACCCAGGUACUCGCCCGGGCAAAAGAACUCCGUUUGCCUCCGAAUAGUUCAGGAGGAAUUGAAGGAUGUUCUUAAUAUCUUCAUGAGAUAAGGUGUUCUUCGGAAGGCGGUGCGUGUUCCCAUGCACCCUUGGCACAAGCCCAUUAUCCUUCAGGUUUGAGAUCAGAUUGUCCAGUCUACUCUCACCUGUUGGUCUUUAACUCACCAACAACGUUGAGGAACCGAUACAUACGAGCGCACACAGGGUGUCCUUGAUGAUGGUAGGCAAUCCUCACCCGUUUCCUGGGAGUCCCUGGGUGCCUCGAUUCCGUUACCACCUGUUCCGACAUAUUCAUUGAAGCCAUGAGUUGCCCCAACAACACCAUGUCCAAGUCAUGCUUGGUUAACUCAAAACAACUACAUCGCAUCGCUAGCAGUCUCCUUCUCCUGCUUCUCCAGCUCCUCUGGAGUGAGUGCCCUCGGUGUGGUGGGAGGCAGAUUCCGGGGUAGUCUGGAAAGGGCAUCAUCUAACUGCUGCUGUGACGUUAGUGGUUGAUCAUCGUUCUCAUCCUCAUCACUAACGCCUGAAAAAAUGUUUCAUGUCACUUAUUGCAUUUAUUCGUUGAGGAGGAAGCUUACCACUGCCAUCAAGAUCACCUUGUUGCUGACUACCACUGGCACCUGAAAUAAAAAAGCUUACCUCUGUCAUGAGGACUGCCUGAUGAGGGUCCGUAGCCACCUUCCUCCAUCUCAUCCAACCCGUCCAUGUCCAACCCAUAGUCAUCUGAAAACAUUAAUUAUUUUUUGAAAAGUAUUGCUAUUUUUUUUGUUUAGUUUAAUAGCAUACCUGUGAAGUUGAGACUCUCAUCAUGAUCAUGAGAUGGUUCAUCUUCUAUUAGUGUUUCAA